AAUCAACGCUGGCGGCGUGCCUCAGACAUGCAAGUCGAACGAUUAAACUUUCCUUCGGGAAAGAUAUAAAGUGGCGCACGGGUGAGUAACACGUAGGUAAUGUACCUUUGGGUGGGGAAUAACCAUCGGAAACGAUGGCUAAUACCGCAUAAUGCAGCGGCAUCGCAAGAUGACAGUUGUUAAAGAUUUAUCGCCUAAAGAGCAGCCUGCGGCAGAUUAGGAGUUGGUAAGGUAAUGGCUUACCAAGCCUGCGAUCUGUAACCGACCUGAGAGGGUGGUCGGUCACACUGACACUGAAUAACGGGUCAGACUCCUACGGGAGGCAGCAGUCGGGAAUUUUGGGCAAUGGGCGAAAGCCUGACCCAGCAACGCCGCGUGAAGGACGAAGUCUUUCGGGAUAGUAAACUUACGU
rnacentral:rRNA from 1 species